UGCAGUGUCAGUGCAAACCAAAAUAAGGCAAAACCGCGAACGGCUCAUUAAAUCGGUCAUGGUUCACGAGCUGAUCCUCUCCAUUCGGACAACUGUGGCAAUUCCAGAGCUAAUACGUGCACUAGAACUCCCUUCGCGCCGAACUUCUCUAGGGCGGAGGGAUUGCAAUUAUCUGAUCCGAAACCCCGGCAUACAGUGCCUCGUGCAUUGAGCCGCGGCCCUCGGUGAACUCUGGAUAAUCGCCCACGCUGAGCGCUUGGACCCACCGCCCUUCGGGGUCGGUACCGGCGCCGCGACUCUCAAAUGUCUGACCCAUCAGAUUUAGUUGGUGCGGUAGCGGCGUACCAAGUCUGCGACGGGUAACGGGGAAUCGGAGUUUGAUUCCGGAGAGGAUGCUCGAGAAACGGCAACCACAUCCAAGGAAGGCAGCAGGCGCGCAACUUACCCAAUGCCGGCACGGCGAGGUAGUGACGAAAAAUAGCGGUGCGGGUCUCUUCGGAGGCCGCGCGAUCGCAAUGAAUCCGCUUUGAACACGCGGACGAUGAGCUAUUGGAGGGCAAGUCUGGUGCCAGCAGCCGCGGUAAUUCCAGCUCCGAGAGCAUAUAGCAAACCUGUUGCAGUUAAAAAGCUCGCAGUUGGGUCUCGGGCUCGGGUGGAUCUGCGGGAGGGUUUCUUCGUUGCGGCGGGUGCUUCGUCCGGGCGACUGGAUGAUUGUGCCUGUCCCGCGAUCCUGUCCUUCGGGGCGUGGAAAGCGCGAGGUUCCCAUCUCUAUCCUGCGUCUGCCCGGCCUCAACCGAUUGACACGCAGAGCCAUAAGCGCCGCCUCCCGGCGCCCCUUCGGGGGCUGUCGCGCAGAGGUCCGGCCGGCCGGCUUUUACUUUGAAAAAAUUAGGGUGUUCACAGCAGGUCUGAUACGCCUGCAUAAUUGCGCAUGGAAUAAUGGAAGAGGACUACGGCUCCGCGAGGGAAACUCUGCAGUUGGUUUCCGGAGCCGGCGGGCAAAUGGUUGAUCGGGACGACCGGGGGCAUACGUAUGGCGGGGGGAGGAGUGAAACCCAUUGAUCCUCGCCAGACGACCAGCUGCGAAAGCGUCUGCCAAGGGCGUUUUCGUUAAUCAGUGAGCCAAAGUCGGCGGAGCGAAGACGAUUAGAUACCGUCGUAGUGCCGACCCUAAACGUUGCCAGCCAGCGGUCCGCGGCAGUUACUACCAUGACUCCGCGGGCGUCUUCCGGGAAACCAAAGCCGUCGGGCUCUGGGGGAAGUAUGGUUGCAAAGCUGAAACUUAAAGGAAUUGACGGAAGGGCACCACCAGGCGUGGAGCCUGCGGCUUAAUUUGACUCAACACGGGAAAACUCACCCGGUCCGGACACUGCGACGAUGGACAGAUUGAAAGCUCUUUCUCGAUUCAGUGGGUGGUGGUGCAUGGCCGUUCCUAGUUGGUGGAGCGAUUUGUCUGGUUGAUUCCGAUAACGAGCGAGACUCUAGCCUGCUAAAUAGUUCGCCCGGCCCGUCAGCUUUGGCCGGGGAGCAAUAAGACUUCUUAGAGGGAUCAGUGGCGGCGCAGCCACGACACGAGAUUGAGCGAUAACAGGUCUGUGAUGCCCUUAGAUGUCCGGGGCCGCACGCGCGCUACAAUGGUGGGCUCAGCGGGUACGACCCGCCCCGAGAGGGGUGGGGAACCCCGCAGUGCCCUUCCCGGUUGGAAUUGCGGAUUGGAACCAUUCCCCACGAACGAGGAAUGCCGAGUAAGCGCGCUUCAUCAGAGUGCGCUGAUUCAGUCCCUGCCCUUUGUACACACCGCCCGUCGCUACUACCGAUCGAGCGGCUCAGUGAGGGCGUCGGAUCAUUGCUCGUCGUGUCCGCCUUCCGUUAGUUGGGUUUCGGCUCGGCUUUCGGGUUAUGACGGGUGCUCGAGGAGUGAGAAGGCGUCCGAACUCGGUCGUUUAGAGGAAGUAAAAGUCGUAACAAGGUUUCCGUAGGUGAACCUGCG
rnacentral:rRNA from 1 species